rnacentral:misc_RNA from 1 species
GAAAUGCGAUAAGUAAUGUGAAUAGCAGAAUUCCGUGAAUCAUCGAAUCUUUGAACGCACAUUGCGCCCUCUGGCAUUCCGGGGGGGAUGCCUGUCCGAGCGUCAUUACGCACCCUCAAGCCCGGCUUGUGUGAUGGGCCCCGGCGUCUCGUUCGCGAGACGGGCCCGAAAGGCAGCGGCGGCGUCGACCCGAUGAGCCCGAGCGUAUGGGGACUUCUGUCACACGUUCGCGGUGCGGACCGGCGCCUGCUUGACUUUUCUGAUUAUCCAGGUUGACCUCGGAUCAGGUAGGGAUACCCGCUGAACUUAAGC